GAUGAAGAACGUAGCGAAAUGCGAUAAGUAGUGUGAAUUACAGAAUUCAGUGAAUCAUCGAAUCUUUGAACGCACAUUGCGCCCCUCGGUAUUCCGUGGGGCAUGCCUGUUCGAGCGUCAUUUAACCCCUCAAGCCUAGCUUGGUAUUGGGUGCUUGUCCCGCCUCUCGCGCGGCGACUCACCUCAAAGUCAUUGGCAGCCCGCAUCUCGCCGGCCGUGAGCGCAGCACAGACGCGCUCUUGGCAACGACGGAUCGGCUCUCCAAAAGCUUAUUUCAACCACUGACCUCGGAUCAGGUAGGGAUACCCGCUGAACUUAAGCAUAUCAAUAAGCGGAGGA
rnacentral:misc_RNA from 1 species